UACGUAGGGUGCUAGCGUUGUCCGGAUUUAUUGGGCGUAAAGGGCUCGUAGGCGGUGUGUCGCGUCGGCCGUGAAAACCUGUGGCUUAACCAUGGGCUUGCGGUCGAUACGGGCAUCACUGGAGUUCGGCAGGGGAGACUGGAAUUCCUGGUGUAGCGGUGAAAUGCGCAGAUAAUCAGGAGGAACACCGGUGGCGAAGGCGGGUCUCCUGGGGCCGAUACUGACGCUGGAGGAGCGAAAGCGUGGGGAGCGAACAG
rnacentral:rRNA from 1 species